rnacentral:misc_RNA from 1 species
GGAAGGAAAAGGCGUAAAAAGGUCUCCGUUGGUGAACCAGCGGAGGGAUCAUUACAGAGUUGCAAAACUCCCAAACCAUUGUGAACGUUACCUAUCCCGUUGCUUCGGCGGGCGGCCCGGGCCCCGCGCCCGGCGCCCCCCGGCCCCCCGUGGGCGCCCGCCGGAGGUAAACCAAACCCUUGAAUUGCAUGGCCUCUCUGAGUCUUCUGUACUGAAUAAGUCAAAACUUUCAACAACGGAUCUCUUGGUUCUG